CACCACAGUCUCCCUCCCCGCGCCCGAUCCAGCAGUGGGCGGACACCUCCCCCAACGACGACUCAGUCUAGAUCGAGGCGGGGGCGGCCACGACUUGCCGCUGACGGGCGCGGCCCGCACGGUCCCAGCUCGAUCUCGUGCCUCCCUCGCGGCCCCCACCCAACGAACUUCUCCCCUGACUGGAUCUGUCACCCUCCUCACCUCCUCCCUCUUCAAGCGGGUGUCGCAACCGGAGAUCUACCCUGUCCAACCGUCCUCCGGCCAUCAGCCCCUCCCUCUUGGUGGUGAUCAUGUCGAGCGCCCCCGCAUCCUAGCGCCUCCCCUGCGGCGGAUCCGUCUGGAUCCAGCCCCGUCGUCCGUGAUCAUGGAGGGAUCCCUCGCCGACCCACCUUCCCUUCUAGCGCUCCCGGCAUCUGCACUCCAUUCGCCCAGCCGGCUCGGCCCCGAGCCCUCACCUUCUCUCCGCAGUGCACACUGGCACGCACGCAGUCCGCCCCCCGACGGCGUGCAGUACGUCCGUCGCGUUGGUGCAGCUUGCUCGCCUGCGUGCAGUACGUCUGUCGCGUUCGUGCAGCUCGCUCGCCUGUGUGCAGUCCGUCACUGGAUGGAUGGAUGGAUUAGUGCAGCUCGGUGGCUCGCCAGGUGCGCUCGGUGGUCGCUGUGGUCUACCGACAAAGCAUGAUGGAGCCGUGCAUCGCCGAUCUGGUUGCUUGUAUCCCACCAGCGAUGUGGGACUAGUCACCUGGUGAAGUUCGCUGGAUACCCCCAUGCAGUUUGUUUUGCCUCUCGAUGUGGUGGUGCCGAGCGGUAAGCCCCUGCCUUGCCGGUGCCCACCGGCAUGUGGGAACUCCUCGUCUGUGGCCUCGGCAGGUUAGACAACCACUGAACUGAAUACACUCUGUGAACACUUUUGUUUUCCAUGAGAGUGUUGUGUACCUAUACUGCAUCAGGUAGUGUCGUUUGUUCUGGUAGUUAUAUGAUGUUUGUAGUGUGUUGGGGUUAACUGUGCGGUGCAGAUUUGCACGGCAGUGCGGUGCAGUACAAGCCGGGUGUGCUCCCAAGUACAGGCUGCUCAUUACACAGGUCGGCUGGGUUGUCGGAGCAGUGACGGUGGCUGNNN
rnacentral:lncRNA from 1 species